AGUCGAGGGGUAUAGGAAGCUUGCUUCCUAGAGACCGGCGCACGGGUGCGUAACGCGUAUGCAAUCUACCUUUUGCAGAGGGAUAGCCCAGAGAAAUUUGGAUUAAUACCUCAUAGUAUAGCAGUUUCGCAUGAAACCACUAUUAAAGUCACAACGGCAAAAGAUGAGCAUGCGUCCCAUUAGCUUGUUGGUAAGGUAACGGCUUACCAAGGCAACGAUGGGUAGGGGUCCUGAGAGGGAGAUCCCCCACACUGGUACUGAGACACGGACCAGACUCCUACGGGAGGCAGCAGUGAGGAAUAUUGGACAAUGGGCGCAAGCCUGAUCCAGCCAUGCCGCGUGCAGGAUGACGGUCCUAUGGAUUGUAAACUGCUUUUGUACAGGAAGAAACACUGGUUCGUGAACCAGCUUGACGGUACUGUAAGAAUAAGGAUCGGCUAACUCCGUGCCAGCAGCCGCGGUAAUACGGAGGAUCCAAGCGUUAUCCGGAAUCAUUGGGUUUAAAGGGUCCGUAGGCGGUUUAGUAAGUCAGUGGUGAAAGCCCAUCGCUCAACGGUGGAACGGCCAUUGAUACUGCUAGACUUGAAUUAUUAGGAAGUAACUAGAAUAUGUAGUGUAGCGGUGAAAUGCUUAGAGAUUACAUGGAAUACCAAUUGCGAAGGCAGGUUACUACUAAUGGAUUGACGCUGAUGGACGAAAGCGUGGGUAGCGAACAGGAUUAGAUACCCUGGUAGUCCACGCCGUAAACGAUGGAUACUAGCUGUUGGGCGCAAGUUCAGUGGCUAAGCGAAAGUGAUAAGUAUCCCACCUGGGGAGUACGUUCGCAAGAAUGAAACUCAAAGGAA
rnacentral:rRNA from 1 species